UAUAGAUGGAUCCGCGCUGCAUUAGCUAGUUGGUAAGGUAACGGCUUACCAAGGCAACGAUGCAUAGCCGACCUGAGAGGGUGAUCGGCCACACUGGAACUGAGACACGGUCCAGACUCCUACGGGAGGCAGCAGUAGGGAAUCUUCCGCAAUGGGCGAAAGCCUGACGGAGCAACGCCGCGUGAGUGAUGAAGGUCUUCGGAUCGUAAAACUCUGUUAUUAGGGAAGAACAUAUGUGUAAGUAACUGUGCACAUCUUGACGGUACCUAAUCAGAAAGCCACGGCUAACUACGUGCCAGCAGCCGCGGUAAUACGUAGGUGGCAAGCGUUAUCCGGAAUUAUUGGGCGUAAAGCGCGCGUAGGCGGUUUUUUAAGUCUGAUGUGAAAGCCCACGGCUCAACCGUGGAGGGUCAUUGGAAACUGGAAAACUUGAGUGCAGAAGAGGAAAGUGGAAUUCCAUGUGUAGCGGUGAAAUGCGCAGAGAUAUGGAGGAACACCAGUGGCGAAGGCGACUUUCUGGUCUGUAACUGACGCUGAUGUGCGAAAGCGUGGGGAUCAAACAGGAUUAGAUACCCUGGUAGUCCACGCCGUAAACGAUGAGUGCUA
rnacentral:rRNA from 1 species